rnacentral:rRNA from 1 species
CCAAUAGCGUAUAUUAAAGUUGUUGCAGUUAAAAAGCUCGUAGUUGAAUUUCGGGAUUGACACAUCGGUCGUGCCCUAAGGGGUAUGAACUGGUGUAGUCAAUUUCUCACCUUCUGGAGAACCGCGAUGCCCUUAAUUGGGUGUCACGGGGAACCAGGACCUUUACUUUGAAAAAAUUAGAGUGUUUAAAGCAGGCAUUUUGCUUGAAUACAUUAGCAUGGAAUAAUAAAAUAGGACGGCAUGGUUCUAUUUUGUUGGUUUCUAGGAUCACCGUAAUGAUUAAUAGGGAUAGUUGGGGGCAUUAGUAUUCAAUUGUCAGAGGUGAAAUUCUUGGAUUUAUUGAAGACUAACUACUGCGAAAGCAUUUGCCAAGGAUGUUUUCAUUAAUCAAGAACGAAAGUUAGGGGAUCGAAGACGAUCAGAUACCGUCGUAGUCUUAACCAUAAACUAUGCCGACUAGGAAUCAGACGAUGUUAAUUUUUUAAUGACUCGUUUGGCACCUUACG